UUCCUACGGGAGGCAGCAGUAGGGAAUUUUCGUCAAUGGGCGCAAGCCUGAACGAGCAAUGCCGCGUGAACGAGGAAAGUCUUCGGAUCGUAAAGUUCUGUUGAAGGGGAAAAAGAGCGGAGAGAGGAAAUGGUCUCCGAUUGAUAUUACCCUUCGAGGAAGUCACGGCUAACUACGUGCCAGCAGCCGCGGUAAUACGUAGGUGGCGAGCGUUAUCCGGAAUGAUUGGGCGUAAAGGGUGCGUAGGCGGCCUGCUAAGUCUGGAGUGAAAGGGACCGGUGCAACCGGUACAGGCCCUGGGAACG
rnacentral:rRNA from 1 species